UACGUAGGGUGCGAGCGUUGUCCGGAAUUAUUGGGCGUAAAGAGCUCGUAGGUGGUUUGUCGCGUUGUUCGUGAAAACUCACAGCUCAACUGUGGGCGUGCGGGCGAUACGGGCAGACUGGAGUACUGCAGGGGAGACUGGAAUUCCUGGUGUAGCGGUGAAAUGACGCAGAUAUCAGGAGGAACACCGGUGGCGAAGGCGGGUCUCUGGGCCGAUACUGACGGCUGAGGAGCGAAAGCCCAGGGGAGCAAACGGG
rnacentral:rRNA from 1 species